AUUUCCAGUGUCUGUAGACUAUUGUGAGCCUGGAGAAGUAGCAUUUAGUUGGGAUAGCUUCACUAGAGCUGCCUGCCAAAGACUUCCUUCCACAGGAUCUUGUCGCACCAGCAACUGACAGGAGCUUGGGAGCUCGGGAGCUUGGGAGAGGGCUUAUGUUUUUAAUAAUGUAGCAGUCAGUUCGAAGCCUGGAAAUGUUGUCCCUCAAAGGUUUAUUGCCAAAAUUAGAUACCAUAUUUAUGCUGAAUUAUUACCUUUUCUAUAGUUUUUUUUUGACCUUGCAGACUACUGUAUUCUUUAUACCUAGGGAAGCAUGUCUAUGUUUGGAACCUGCAAAUAAUUUUUCAGUCAUCUUAGAGAUGCUGCAGAACAUCAAUGCCACAUCUUGAGUCAGAAGUCGAGGGUCAUUUGUUCAAAAGUUGGAGAAAUAUCCUCUUUUGUUGCUUCUUCUACUCUGUAGUGGAGAAUGGGGAACUGGUAGUUGUGUGGGAGUUAUGUGUCUCUAAGAUUUGUUGACCCAUUUUGAUGGCAAGGUGUAUUCACAAGUGUGUGUAAAGGGGGUGUGGAUGGGACAACUGCAUCUGCCUCUUGUGCAUGCCUUGGGUACUUGAUUUCAUCUUGUUUUUUCCCCCUUUUGUAUAAAAUUCUCAAAAUUGCUCUUUUGGAUUUGAAUAUGAAAGGAGAAAUGUAAUCUCUAAAGAAUGAUAGUAAAUACCUUGCACUGACUUUAUUUUCUGAUAUCUUAACCUUCUAGGGCAUAAAAUCUUGUUAUUUUAAUUUGCAUCUGGGAGAAUGUCUGAGCAAGGAGACCUGAAUCAGGCAAUAGCAGAGGAAGGAGGGACUGAGCAGGAGACGGCCACUCCAGAGAACGGCAUUGUUAAAUCAGAAAGUCUGGAUGAAGAGGAGAAACUGGAACUGCAGAGGCGGCUGGAGGCUCAGAAUCAAGAAAGAAGAAAAUCCAAGUCAGGAGCAGGAAAAGGUAAACUGACUCGCAGUCUUGCUGUCUGUGAGGAAUCUUCUGCCAGACCAGGAGGUGAAAGUCUUCAGGAUCAGGUAUAUCCCCUUGCCAUUAUCAUUAAUUGCAUGAAUGGGAUCCACCUUUGUGUGCAUGACUCUUAAUUUGGUGUUAAACAGUGUUUUGGGGGAGAAAAAUAUAAUUGAAGAAAGUAAUUCAUUUUUUGGCUUCAUCCCCUGCUUAUGCAACAUUCUAAAAUAGUUUAAUGGUUUGUCACAGAGUAUUACAUUUGUUUUUUUCCAGACUCUCUGAAAACUGCAAAUGGAAAGGAAUUCAAAAGAAUUUAGAUUAAAAGUUAAAUAAAAAGUAGGCACAGUAGUGCUGAAUUUUCCUCAAAGGCUCUCUUUUGAUAAGGCUGAACCAAAUAUAAUCCCAAGUAUCCUCUCUCCUUCCUUGUUGGAGAUGUCUUACCUCUCAGCUCCCCAAAAUGCACUUGCCUAUAAGAAACACAAUUGCUGGUUCAUAUGAAACUUAGGAAAUAGUGAAUAAGGUGCAUUUAACUUUGGAGAAAUACUUUUAUGGCUUUGGUGGAGAUUUCUCAAUACUGCAAAAGUUGUCCAGAAAUGAAUCUGAGCUGAUGGUGACUUUAAUAUUAUUAAUAUAUCACUGCAUAUUUUUACCCUUAUUUUUGCUCCUUACAGCAAGAUUAGUAGGUUAUAAAAAUUUAAAUUUAAACAAAAUUAUUUCAUGACAAAAUGGGAAACUUCACAUCAUACUUAUUUUUGUUUGCCUUUUAGGCAUCAUAUUAUCUUUUAUAAAAAAUGGUCUUGCUGCUGAAAUUGUACUUAUUUUAUCAGAGGCUGGGUGCAGUCAAGACAAAAGUAAAAUGGUUUACCUGAGCCCAGGGGAGGGAAAAUUGAUUAAGAUAUCAUUAUUUUUGUUUGGUUUGGUUUUGCUUUUUUCUUCUUACUUUAAUUGAAAUACUCUGAAUUCCCCUCAUGGAAACAGAGAGCAUUGAGAGCACUUUCUUUAAAAGGACCAAAAAUAAAUUCCUAAUAGAUUUUGUCCUAAGAGAGUGUUUUUUUUUUCUAGCAUCACUUUCUUUACAUGCCACUCAUGUCAUAAGGCAUGGACAGGCUAUCUUUCAGUGGCCAUUACUAUGUUUCGUACACAUGCUUUAUUUUACUUGGGCUCUGAGAAAUGUGUGGCUUUCCUUCAGCAUUUUAUUUGUGCUUCUAUUUUUAAUGGAGAUUGAAAAGGGAGAAUAAUGUGAAUAUCACGGCUUAUAUUAUUAAAUGUUGAUUGAUGGCUUGUAAUGUACUGCACACAAUAUAUGUUAACUCUGCAGAAUGACAGACCCUGGGAGAAGUAAUGCCCCAGUUGUCCCCCACUCCUAAUGCCAGGCAGAGAAGGACAGCCUUUAUAGACUUAAUCUGCUUUUUGUCCCAUUUGACAAGGUACCAGGAGGAAAUUUUUUAAGGGAUCAACUGUAUCAUAGUGCCCACUCUGGACCUAAGUCUAGUGUCUCCAUACAAUUGGUGCAGAGAAAUAAGGGGUAAAUGGUGCUUUGUUCCUGCUGGUUCCAAGCUCAGAAACCAAGACUAGCUUUGUAGGAGAGAAUGAGAGCCUGCAAGCCUCUCUUUGGAUUGGCUGAGGAGUGGUGGGAGCAGGGGGCUGAUAGAAAACAUCCAGACACACAUAUAAGCAAGUGGCCGUGCUACCUUUUUAGAGAAUAAAGAAACAGACUUUUGAGUUUUUAUGCAAUGCCUUCAUUAGGUACCACCGGCACUUACAAAAUGUGCGGACUGAAUCCCAGAGAACACUGGCAGAUGUAUACAGUAUAUGGAUUGUAUCGCUUCCCCAAUGUUUGUAAAUUCACAGUAUUUGGAAAACUGCCUUCAUUUUCCAGUGUGGGAAAAACUCUUGCUACCUGUAUUACUUGAUCUCAGACCCAUACCUGAUGGUUCAGUCUGUCCUUAAGUUAAAAGAAUUUUGCUUUUCUAAUGUUAUACUAUUUACCUGUCAGUGUAUUACUGCAACUUGAAUCACUCUUUUACUGUUGUUGGAUAUAAACUUAUCCUGUACCAAUGUAUUUAUUAACACUUGUAUUUUAUUAUUGAGCAUAUCAAUAAAAAUAUUAAAAAAUAACAGAUUGUUUUUUACCAA
rnacentral:sRNA from 1 species